rnacentral:hammerhead_ribozyme from 1 species
AUCCAGCUGACGAGUCUCAAAUAGGACGAAACUUGAGUCAAACUGGAU